CGGAAACUGAUAGGCUGGGAGGCACUCUGUCUCCUCAUAUUCGCUCUCAAAAAGAGACUUAUCCCAUCUCUGGACCUCAGAGCCUUUUACAAGGACACUGGGUAGGGGAGGACAAGGGAGCAGACAAUGGAAGAGGAGUCUGAGAUGGAGCUACAGGACGGGGGCAGAGGAACCAUAAGCCCAUCCAAAAGCCAUGAGAUGCCAGAGCCAGGAGAAACCUUUGAGAAACAGAUCAGAAAGGGAAGAUCUUCUCUGGUGAGCGUCCCCCCAGCCUGGCCUAGGGCAUGCCCCAGUUCACUUUCGCCUGCUUCUGUGGCCUCCACGGCUUCUGCAAGAUGA
rnacentral:lncRNA from 1 species